GCUGGGCGUGGUGGUGCACACUUGUAGUCCCAGCUACUGGGGAGACUGAGGCAGGAGGAUCACUUGAGCCGAGGAGUUCGAGGCUGUAGUAAGACAUGCUUGCACCACUGCACUCCAGCCUGGGCAACAGAGUGAGAUCCUGUCUCUU
ensembl:misc_RNA Metazoa_SRP Metazoan signal recognition particle RNA